rnacentral:rRNA from 1 species
GAUGAACGCUGGCGGCGUGCCUAAUACAUGCAAGUCGAGCGAACGGACGAGGAGCUUGCUUCUCUGAUGUUAGCGGCGGACGGGUGAGUAACACGUGGAUAACCUACCUAUAAGACUGGGAUAACUUCGGGAAACCGGAGCUAAUACCGGAUAAUAUUUUGAACCGCAUGGUUCAAAAGUGAAAGACGGUCUUGCUGUCACUUAUAGAUGGAUCCGCGCUGCAUUAGCUAGUUGGUAAGGUAACGGCUUACCAAGGCAACGAUGCAUAGCCGACCUGAGAGGGUGAUCGGCCACACUGGAACUGAGACACGGUCCAGACUCCUACGGGAGGCAGCAGUAGGGAAUCUUCCGCAAUGGGCGAAAGCCUGACGGAGCAACGCCGCGUGAGUGAUGAAGGUCUUCGGAUCGUAAAACUCUGUUAUUAGGGGAGAACAUAUGUGUAAGUAACUGUGCACAUCUUGACGGUACCUAAUCAGAAAGCCACGGCUAACUACGUG